rnacentral:rRNA from 1 species
GAUGAACGCUGGCGGCGUGCCUAAUACAUGCAAGUCGAGCGAACAGACGAGGAGCUUGCUCCUCUGACGUUAGCGGCGGACGGGUGAGUAACACGUGGAUAACCUACCUAUAAGACUGGGAUAACUUCGGGAAACCGGAGCUAAUACCGGAUAAUAUCUUUAACCGCAAGGUUCAAUAGUGAAAGACGGUUUUGCUGUCACUUAUAAAUGGAUCCGCGCCUCAUUAGCUAGUUGGUAAGGUAACGGCUCACCAAGGCAACGAUGAGUAGCCGACCUGGGAGGGUGAUCGGCCACACGGGAACUGAGACACGGCCCAGACUCCUACGGGGGGCAGCAGUAGGAAAUCUUCCGCAAAGGGCGAAGGCCUGCCGGAGCAACGCCGCGUGAUUGAUGAAGGUCUUCGGAUCGUAAAACUCUGUUAUUAGGAAAGAACAAAUGUGUAAGUAACUAUGCACGUCUUGACGGUACCUAAUCAGAAAGCCACGGCUAACUACGUG